UAGGGAAUCUUCGGCAAUGGGGGGAACCCUGACCGAGCAACGCCGCGUGAGUGAAGAAGGUUUUCGGAUCGUAAAGCUCUGUUGUUAAGGAAGAACGAGUGGGAGAAUGGAAAGUUCAUGCUGUGACGGUACUUAACCAGAAAGGGACGGCUAACUACGUGCCAGCAGCCGCGGUAAUACGUAGGUCCCGAGCGUUGUCCGGAUUUAUUGGGCGUAAAGCGAGCGCAGGCGGUUAGAAAAGUCUGAAGUGAGGGGCAGUGGCUCAACCAUUGUAGGCUUUGGAAACUGUUUAACUUGAGUGCAGAAGGGGAGAGUGGAAUUCCAUGUGUAGCGGUGAAAUGCGUAGAUAUAUGGAGGAACACCGGUGGCGAAAGCGGCUCUCUGGUCUGUAACUGACGCUGAGGCUCGAAAGCGUGGGGAGCGAACAGG
rnacentral:rRNA from 1 species